rnacentral:rRNA from 1 species
GACGAACGCUGGCGGCGUGCCUAAUACAUGCAAGUUGAGCGCUGAAGGUUGGUACUUGUACCGACUGGAUGAGCAGCGAACGGGUGAGUAACGCGUGGGGAAUCUGCCUUUGAGCGGGGGACAACAUUUGGAAACGAAUGCUAAUACCGCAUAAAAACUUUAAACACAAGUUUUAAGUUUGAAAGAUGCAAUUGCAUCACUCAAAGAUGAUCCCGCGUUGUAUUAGCUAGUUGGUGAGGUAAAGGCUCACCAAGGCGAUGAUACAUAGCCGACCUGAUAGGGUGAUCGGCCACAUUGGGACUGAGACACGGCCCAAACUCCUACGGGAGGCAGCAGUAGGGAAUCUUCGGCAAUGGACGAAAGUCUGACCGAGCAACGCCGCGUGAGUGAAGAAGGUUUUCGGAUCGUAAAACUCUGUUGGUAGAGAAGAACGUUGGUGAGAGUGGAAAGCUCAUCAAGUGACGGUAACUACCCAGAAAGGGACGGCUAACUACGUG